GGGUCCUUCAGGGUCCUUUGAAUGCAUGUGGCGCGAUAUGGGAAACAGUGGAAAAUAGUUUGACAGCAGGAGAGCCGAAGAGAUUAUUAUCACCAUUUGGCUCUCUAUUUAUCCAAGCAACAUGUUUUCUGCUGAGCAAAGCUGUUGGUUUGUCCGCAAGGUGAUUUGCUGGAGAGCUGUGGCGAGUAUCGCUUGGGCUGUCCUGUUGUUGCCCUCCAUCACAGCAGUGUUUGUGCUCCUCAGCAGGUUCAGUCUGCUUCACCCCAUCCAGACAGUAUCAGAAUGUCUGUCCUUCUUAACGAGUGCAAGUGCCAUCUUCUCCUUCAUCCUGCUGUGUGGAGUCAUCAUCAUGGUGGGGUUCCUCAACCUGGAAUAUUAUACAGUCAUCCCAACGAUUGCAUGCUCGAAAAUCGCCCUGUUGGGUCAGCUGCUCCACCCUCGUCAGUUCGUCAACUCCCUGGCACACUGCAUCAUGGGAAUAAUCGUGGCUUGGUGUUGUGCCAUCGCCAUCGGGGGCAGAUAUGAAACGAUCGCCUACCCCUGCACACCGGAUGAUGGUGUCGACAGUUCCCAUCAGAUGUGUCUGAACGAGCAUCACUUCAUCCUUCUGCUGGCUGGAGCCUUUGUUGGACUAUCUCACAGUAUGCUGGGUGUGAUCUACAACAUGAACUAUGUCCCUUUUCUCACUGUUCAGCAAUACAAAUACCUUCGCUUUAAGGGAUCCCUACCUUCGUUGGUGAAGUGCAGCGCCACUCAGGCCCUUUACUCUGUCAGGAACUACAUUGUUGUGUAUUUCUUUUUGGGAUACAUUCCAAAAGCAUGGAUUUGUAAAACACUGAAUCUGCAUUUGAACAGCUCUGUCCACCCUCUUGACAGCAUAGCUGGACUGCUGGACCUCAACCUGCUGUACCAGCUGUGGGUCAGUGCCGGCUUCCUCCUCCUCACAUGGCACGUCACCCUGCUGCUCUUUAGGAUCUUUGUCACUGAGGUGUACAGUUUUCCUGUGCAGUCUUCUUUUACCGAGGAUGCCCAUCAGUGUCUUCCUAAAGUUAUUACCGGCAAGCAGCCCAUGGUAUUAAAGUUUCUAGCUCUGCAGGACCUUGCUCUGCUCUCUCAACACUCUCCAUUGAGACGCUCGGAGGUCUUCAGUCUGAGUCAGCCAGGUGGCCAUCCUCAUAACUGGAACGCCAUCAGUAAGGAGUGUCUGUCUCUUCUGAAUGAUCUGACCCAGAGACUCAUAGCCUAUCAUGACACUGUAGCAACCAAUGGCCGGGCCAAAUCCCUUUCUACUGGGAGUGAGAGGAAGACUUCAUCUGAGACAUCAAGUACAGAAGAUCUGAUGAGCCCGAGGCCCACGUUUCUGAUGAAAACCCCAGCGUCGGUGUUUGCUCGCUCCAUUGUAGGCAGCUCACAGAGCCCUCUGACAGCGCCCUUCACUAGUCCUGACCUGAACAGCCCUUUUGCUUCUCCCGCUCUGCGGCGUCUGACUGCUCCUGCGGACCCGUGUUCCCCGUGGUUCGGCACAGUGCAGAGCCCCCACAUCAUGAGGAGAGUCCCAAAACUCUGGUCCACCCCCACAGAUUCACAAGUCAAUGGAAGUCCCCCAGCAUCCCCUGCCUCAGUUCCCAGUCCCAAACAGGAACCGUCCAAACCAAGUCUCCUGGCUCAGUUCCUCCAAAACAGAAAAGAACAGGUUAAACAUUUCUUGGCAAAGCGCGUGCUGAUAAUGUAUUUGUUUAACAAGGUAAGGAGCUUCCAGAAGCCUCCAGUCAGGCUCUGUUUGCAGACAGCCAGGCUCACAUCUGGGCUUUAGAAGGGCUGUCGUACCUUGUUCAAGCCUCCUUCUCAGAAGACCAGUUUGGGGUCGUACAGACUGCAUUACCCAGCAUUCUCGGGUGUAUGCUCGUCUUACAAGAGGCAGUAGAUCGGCACUUCAAGCUGCCUCACGCCUCCAGUAAGCCCGUGCGGUCGGCCAGCAGCCUGGGAGACUCCACUCACAAAACACUGCGCUUUGCCCUCAGAGCCACUCUCAAGACUGCCAUCUACAGGAUAACUACUACUUUUGGAAAUCACUUAAGUGCUGUUCAGAUGUCUGCAGAGCACCGGAAACGAUUGCAGCAGUUCCUGGAAAACAAGGAGUAAAAACACCUGACACUUGGCUCUUGUGCCUGCAGAUUCUUAUCAGCUUGUGUGUGUGCACUAGCAUGAGUGAGGCCAAUACUGAAAGCCCAUGAUAGUGCCUCCUUUUUUUUAAUAUUUAUGUGUGCAAGAUGUCAUGGUGGAAUGUAUUUGAUAGUUAUAUCACAUCCUCCAUGUGUGAGGCUUCCUGCUACACUGACAGACUGAAACAGGAUAGAAGCCCAGCUGUUCUUCCUCUUUAGGAGAUUUAAACUAGCUCACUUUACACAAAAACAACUUACUCCAAAAUAUUUGUUUCAUUUGUAUUACGAGAUAAUGAUAUUUGACAUGACUCAUUCAUUUGGAAAAGUUGUAAAGGGCUUUUACAUUAUGUGCUUUUUGGUACCGCACUUCAUAAGCUGUCUUAUGGAAUUAUGAUAUCCUUCUGGUUUCAAAACAUUAUCAUUUGGUGUGAGUGAGAGAGUUGGUAUGGCGUGUCAGUGAUGAGAAAGAAGCCGUGUUGCUCUCUUCAGCUUGACGGGUAUCUGAAAUGUGUUCUGGAAAUAUAUAUAUUUUUAAAGAUCUGGUUUUGUUCUAAACUCCAGCCUGGAGAACUCGUUUACUGUCCACCUCAGUUCAGGUUCUCUAACUAGAAAAUACACCAUCAGAUGUACAGAUCAGACACCCGUUUGUCUGUUAACUAUUUUGUUUGUCAGCUUUUGUUCAUGAGAAAUGAGGCCGUCUUUCAUGUCAGAUAAAGAAUGGAGAUUUGGUGUGACUGGUAAAAGUGUGGGCAAAAUGUUUUGAUUGCAAAUGCGUAUUGCGUUUGAUAUCCACUCAGAGGCCUGUUGAAUAAAAAUAUUAUGUAAAGAUCCA